rnacentral:misc_RNA from 1 species
GACAGAGACAGAAGAUAAAAGAAAAUGAAUGCUAAGUCACCCAAAAGCAGCAUGUCGCAUGAAUGAAUCAAACAUGGUUUUACUUGUAGGAAUGCCAACAUAGUUUCAGCAUACGAGUAGUACCCAUAAAGCAAGAAAAAAAAAAUGAAAAGAAACUUUACAACUUUACAAUCUAACGAAAAGAAUUUUCAUUUGUGCAAAUAGCAAUACGCACACGUUACUUUAGAC